GUUCUUUAAACACCAUGUUAUUACUCUUAAUAAAUCUACAAAUAUUUAUUGAGCAUCUAUGAUAUGCUUGGUGCUGUUAGGCACUGUGUUUUUAAAGCACAAACUCUCAAAAGCUGAUUCCAGCGUAAUGUUUUAUUUUUGUUUUUCUGUGUUUUUUAUGACAAAGUCUGUCUGAUAGACAAAGCCUGGAAGGUUUCCCCCAGGGCUUUAGAAUUUAGAAUUAGCUGGUUUUCAUUUCAAAUGGGAAAUUAAUGGAGAAAUGAGAUAAAAUCAUCUCUGUGUAAAUGCUUGAACCCACAGAAAGUUUUCUAAAUAUGGACUAAUUGUGGGUUUGUGCAUAUUUCUGUGUCUCCUCUUUUCACUUCACACCCACCAUGAUAUAAAAAGAUGCAUCAGAGAGUGAGCCUGCCUUCAGGACCUGAAAGGACAUGACUGAACAUCUAGUAGAUCUGGUGGAAAUUAAUGUUAUACAAAAGACACGUAGACUAAGUUGACCCUGGGAGAGGAGUUAAUACAUUCCUUUGCAAAGUGACAUGUGCCCUUUUUUUGACAGUCUGGCUUUCAUGGUAUGAGAUGAGGACUCACAGGCCUUGGGUAAUUUCUGCUUUUGUAUGAAUUUUUUCAGAUGGUUCUGAGCUGGUUAUGUCCCUGGAGGGGAAUUUUUCAUUUGCCUUAGAUGUUCUUCCCAUGAGUAGGUACAUGAGUGAAGUUUCUUACACUUUUAAAAUUGCAUUGGCAAAUUUUCUUUUGCUUUAUGAACCCCUGUUUUGUCAUUAUGAUUUUUCACUUGUUUUAACAGUUUCAGAUGUCACCUUGGAAUAGCACUGUUUAUUUUGGCCUUUUUAUGAUUGCUGAUGAUAGGUACAGUCUAAAGGCCAAAAGUUGCCACUUCAUUGUGAUAACAUUGUUGCAACAUUCCUAAUAUAUUAGAGAAUGAUGUAAAAUAAGAAUGUUAGAGAACAUAGCACAUUCUCAUUCAGUUUAUAAACAAUAUUUGAAAAUUUCCAGUGAGAAUUAAAAAAGGACUAGUGAUGAUAUAGCAAACCUGGACCUGAAAUUUGGGGGUGGGGGGUGGGGGGAUAUCUGUUUUGCAGAGAAAAUUUACCAGCCUCCAGCAAAAUCUCUGCAUCUUGUACUCAAUAGCAACCAUUAGUAUUGUCAUUUAAAAAGAAUGAAUCAAAAAUUCAUACGUAAUGGAAUGAAAAGAGGAAAACUUUCUAUUAAACACUGUCAAGAAAGACCCAUUGCUAUCUAUCACCUAUGAAAUUAAACCUAAAAAAAUUUUUUUUUAUUGUAAAAGCGACUGCUCGUUGAUGUCUGGAAGUGAUCCAGACUUUGUUUCACUGUGAUCCAAAAAGUUAGACAUUCCUUCCAUUUCUCAAGAUUUGGUAACAAUUUUUUUUUAAGUCAGCAUUUCAUAUAAUACAUAAAAUUAAGACAAAUUAACUUACUGAUAUGUGGCCAAUAUCAACCCUUCUCACCCAACCCAAACAUGUUCUGGAGAUAGAAGGACUUAUCCUCAAUUAUAUUCCAGUAAAUUUAUCUCCAUAAUCUGUUUUAUCCCCUAAUGUAUGAUAUAUCUCACCAAAUUUUUCUAGAAUUGAAUAAAAGCAGUUUUUGCUUAACUUGAAUUUCCUUCCACAAAUACAACCUUCAGCUCUUCCCUCUCUGUUUCCCUUUUGCCCACAUUGCAAAUAGUCUUCAUAAUAGAACCCUCACUGCAACUUAAAAGGGUCCCAUUUCUUAACUCAGCAUUUCAUAUACCAAGAACACUUGCAAAGAUUUCUUCAUAAUGUGAUUUUUUAAUUUUUCAGUUCCAGAAGCAUUUCCUACAGUUCGAACGUUAUUUUUUCUCUCAGAUUUUCAACUUGAAGCUUUGAUUUGCACUGAAUUAACUUGGAUAAAAUUUUAGUUUCUCUCUUCAGCUAACAGAUUUGGAAGCAAAUUACAGUAUACUUGAAUAAUUCAGGUACUACCUGUUGACCUGGAAUUUUAGUGAUUCUGGGAAAGUUUUCCAGACAAAGACACCAAUAGAGUGAAGGGUUUUUUCCCCAAUUACUAUUUUAUUGUUUUUUAAAAUGC
rnacentral:lncRNA from 10 species